rnacentral:lncRNA from 1 species
ACCAGUUUUCUGGAGCGCUGUGUGUUCUUAACAGCUGAGCAGUCUGUUUCUCCAAUCAGGUUUCAAAGCCACUUCAACUGCACUGGCCCCUGUGGGUCACUGCUGCACCGCCCUGACCCAUGUGGGUCCCUGAGGAGCGACCUGCCGGGGCCACCUGGCUGGACGAAAAAGACACACCUUGGACUUAAGCCGUGAGAAAAAAACUUCAUCAGUAAGAAGAAUGAAUAAACAGACUAGGUUGAAUCCAUACAAUGGAAUGUUAGCAGACAAUAAAAAGAAAAUGAACUAUUGAUGUCCCCUACUGCACAGCAGAAGCUCUGAAUCGUGUUCCUGAAUGAAAGAAGUCAGGCAGGUUCUUCAGGAGGGAUUCCAGAACAAGGCACUCUCAUCACAGGAGAUGACAGCUCCAUGUGCAUGACGGCCCCAGAAGACCAUCUGGUAGGACAAGAUGUGGAGGUGGAACGCAGUGAUAUUGAUAAUCCUGACCCUGGAGAUGAAAAGAUGGGCCAGGAGUCCAGUUUCUGGAAGGCCAAGAAUCGAAGUAGCAAGCUGCAGCCGUUUUCCAGACAAGCAGGAUGUGGGGAUGCAGAAGAAUUCAGGACUGGAGGGGCAAACUCCAUGGUGUCAGAGCAGAUCUGAAGUAGAGCUUCUAACGACUCCCAGGAGUGCUGAGUGACCGAAGCCAGGUACCUGCAGGACCUAUUUGUGUUCGUUGAUCUCUCAGAGCAGUUGGAAGUCAUG